GGCUCUGAGUUGAGGGUGGACAUCCAUUAAGGCGGAAACCACCUUCUGCACAAUGUAACACUCACACUGUGGGUUGUUUACAUUUAGCAGAACAUAUUUUGUAAAACUGAGCCUGGUUGCAAGGAAGAUGCAGAACACAAAACUUCUGCUAGGCAGGAGACAGACAACCAUCUGGUCUGAUCCUUUUGCAAGUCAGCAAAAUGCCUGAAAAUAUAAUACCAGUUGGAGGGAAAACACAGCACUUAAAGGCAGCAGAAGAGCAGCCCGGUCUCCCGUUAAAAGCAAAAGAAGAAUGGGAAUGAAUGGGAAUGAUGAAAAUGAGUGUGGUUUUUAUGGACCGAAUGAGGUUUCCAGUAAAUGGACAAAUGGAAUAAUGGAAUAGUUCCCCCUCAAUCGUGAUUCCUAUAAAAUCCUCACUUGCU